rnacentral:rRNA from 1 species
AGAGUUUGAUCCUGGCUCAGAUUGAACGCUGGCGGCGUGCCUAACACAUGCAAGUCGAGCGCUCGUAGCAAUACGGGAGCGGCAGACGGGAGAGUAACACGUGGGAACGUACCUUUCGGUUCGGAAUAACCCAGGGAAACUUGGGCUAAUACCGGAUACGUCCGCAAGGAGAAAGAUUUAUCGCCGGAAGAUCGGCCCGC